CGGCCCCGCAGCGUCCGGCGCGGCGCCGCGACUGCCGGCGCGACGCUGACGGCGGUCGGUGCGACACCGGUUCGACUUUCGGUUGGGCCGUCC
rnacentral:tRNA from 1 species